CCUCCUUUUCUUGGCGGGGACCGGGCACACGAUCCCGCUCCCCGUUAUGUACGGAGGCAGAGGAAAAGGGCCGUGGUCCCCUCGGCGUCAUGUCUUCGGUGCCGGCUGCUUCCCAUGCGCCGGUUCUAUCCUCAAGCGCCGAGACAAGG
ensembl:snoRNA